CCCUAAAUAAACUUGCAUAAAAAUCUUCUUUUUAUUAUGUUUCGCCCGACGAGAAAGUGAGCUCCAAUUUUGGCUUUUCAGAUGCAAUAUGAAGAAAACGAGCUCCAAUCUCUUGAUCCAGUCGACGUACGACUUAUUUUAUUAUCAGACUCUUUUCUUAUGUUUGCUCAAAUCGAAUUGCUGCUCGCCUAAUUCAGUGCCUCGACGGUAUCAUCUCUGGCUAUGUUUCUCAUCAUCGGCGUUUGGUUACCUAGAAGAGAAUGUGCAACAAAAAUAGAUCACUUACACUCACCCCACUGACAACCCAGUGGGAUAAUCUAGAAAACCACACUAAAAUGAGAAUGCUACUGCUACAUUUGUAAAGGGCCAAUGUCCGUCACAUUUGGACGCAUUUCAUACAAAUCUAUCUUUGUCGCGUUAUUUCUUUUGUAGGAUUAUUGGGUAUUAUAAUCAUUUGGCUUGAUUAUUUUUAUGAUUACAGAUGUUCUUCA